ensembl:lncRNA
ACUGCCAAUCCAUCCCUCCACCUUCAGGUCCCCUUCCCAUCCCCACGUCCCCACCCACAAGUCUGUUUUCUCUGUCUGUACCACAGAUAAUCUUGAAUUUCAGUGGCUGCAGUGGAGAAAUUUGAACCAUCUUACUUUUGAUUUAUUCUUAUUCUCGAUACAGCUUUGUAGCAAUGCCACAUACCUUCUUAAAAAACAAAUGAUUGGCACCCAAGUGCAGAGCGGUGAGCUGCACACACGUGCAUCCCUGCGCGCUGGCUGCAGGAGCAACAGGAGGCUGUACUCUGAAGAGUCUUUUCUGGCCUCUCCGUUCACCUCCAGGCAGUGACUCAGGAACACAGAGAUCUGGGCACCACUCGAACGAGGAAUUCCUGGUCAGAGACAGAAACUAUAGUUGGCCCAAAGCUCUUGGCACAAAUGUUUUAAAACUGUUGUUGAGGUGGGAGAGAGGCCAAGACGACAGAGGAGAUGGACUUUGACCACACCUCCUUUCAGGAACACACCAAAAUCACAGCUGCUGAACAAACAUUUCCCAGACUAGCAGAGAAGAACAAAAUACUUCAUGCAGCGUAUGCUUCACAAAAAGAAGACGACAGUUACAGGUUCCUGGGUACAGGCGGGUAGAUUCUUUACCACUGCACCACCUGGGAAGUCCUGCCUUUCUUUGGAGAUCAGUUCCUAAAUGAUUUUUACAUCCGUCAACAUCUGCUCUGCACUUCAGAUCUUCCCCAGCUACUGAAAUGUGAGGGCUCCUUUCAUAGGAAUGGAGAUAUGAGGAAUAUGAGAAAGAGUAUUGCUGACUUGUAUUGUAUUAUUUUGGAUAUCAGGAUGCAUUUUUAUUUUAGGGAUUCAUUUUAGAUUUCAGGAGGACGUCUUCUGUAAAGUUCAUUCAAAUGCAGUGACAGAUCACCUGAUUUGGGGAAAUCUUAAUUUAGAGGAUGAAGAAAUUUAAGCAACUAUUGAUAUAUAAAAGGUCUCACAGUGAGAUUUCUCUAAGUGGCAAGUCCUCAUGUUCAUAGUAAAUAUGAUUAAGUUAAUAGUGAUGUGUCUUACAACUUUUUAGGAAUUCCUUUACUG